rnacentral:lncRNA from 1 species
UGCAUUUUCCAUUUCUUCUCAUGAACAUACUCAAUCAAGCCGAGUCUGCAAUUUUCACUGUUUGCCUUGUUCUCUGUGCUUCCGAGGGAUCUACUUUUCAGAUUUUAUUACAUUAAUACCAAUAUCAUGUGUUUUAUGCCUCCAAAAAUAAUAGAUACGUAUAAUUAUUUGUACUGAUAUCUGUUGCCUGAUGGAUUCGGCAAUAAUAGGGUGAAGUCGUUAUUUUCCGUAACGUGAUCGGAACUUUCAGUCUAUGGACGGCAGUAGUUAGAUAUAUGAUGGUUUUGGCGUUUUAACCCCACUUGACCUUUUGACCCUCGGUCCAAACUAACCAAUACCGGUCAAUUUAAAAUCCACAGGUUUUGACAACUCAUUGUGAAAACCUUCGGUUUGAUGAACGUAAGUCCCUGGGAGCUUUUAGCUUCCAUAAAGUACUGAGAAAAUACAUAUUUAACUUUCAAAAUAUCUUAAAAAAGCCUUAAUAAAAACUUAAAAAACGUUAUACCCGGACCGAAAAACAAUUUACAAAAUAGUUUUAGCCUCCGGUUUAAAGCCGAUAUUGACUUUACAGUGUAAACAGAUAUUGGGUUUCCAUUAUAGUAUUUCGCAAUAUUGCAUCAGCCGGUUACGACUAGUUUUAUCAAUACACAUAACAUUCUUUACUGUUUUAAGUAUUAUAACUAAAAAAGUGGAAUUUAAGCAACUGAAAUGUAUUCAAGAAUUCUACAAAGAUAUUAUUAGCCAGAUGAAUUACAACGUGAAAAAUCCAAGACUUUAUAAAGACAACGAACGUUUAACACAAAAUAUAUCAUCGGAAGACUUCAAGAAAAGAAUGUUAACCAUAACAUGGUUGAAUAUCAUAAUACUUUCAUGUUGUUAGAAUCACUCAACCGUUUGAGUAUGCCAUACUCAUACGCAUGGUUGAAUAUCAUAAUACUUUCAUGUUGUUAGAAUCACUCAACCGUACACUUAUACCAUAAUCCUACGGUUGACUGAAUAUUAUAAUACUUUUAUGUUGUAAGAAUCACUCAACCAUUUGAGUAUGGCAUAGGCAUACGCAUGGUUGAAUAUUAUUAAACUUUAGUGUUACUGAAAUCACUCAACCGUUUGAGUAUGCCAUAGGCAUAUGCAUGAUUGAAUAUACGCUUUUGGGAGUAGUAUGGAAUAUAACGUUUAUGGGUGCAUUUUUGAUAGUAGUUAAGAAUAUUAUGUUUUUGAUACAUUUUAACCCUUUUUAUUAAAAUAAUUUAUAAUUGUUUGUUCAUUAUGUUUUACAUUGUUUACUCUCAGUGUUUUAUACAAUAAAUCAUAAAUGUUUA